UACGUAGGCAGCAAGCGUUGUUCGGAGUUACUGGGCGUAAAGCGCGUUCAGGCGGUUUGGCAAGUCGGGCAUGAAAUCUCUCGGCUCAACCGGGAGAGGUUGUCCGAUACUUCCAGACUUGAGGGCAGUAGAGGGUGGUGGAAUUCCGGGUGUAGUGGUGAAAUGCGUAGAGAUCGGCAGGAACACCCAGGGGGAAACCAGUCGACUGGGCAUCUACUGACGCUGAGGUGCGAGAGCGUGGGGAGCGAACCGG
rnacentral:rRNA from 1 species